AACGAACGCUGGCGGCAUGCCUAACACAUGCAAGUCGAACGAGACCUUCGGGUCUAGUGGCGCACGGGUGCGUAACGCGUGGGAACCUGCCCUUAGGUUCGGAAUAACUCCCCGAAAGGGGUGCUAAUACCGGUUAAUGUCUUCGGACCUAAGAUUUAUCGCCAUUGGAUGGGCCCGCGUUGGAUUAGCUAGUUGGUAGGGUACAAGCCUACCAAAGCGACGAUGCAUAGCUGGUCUGAGAGGAUGACCAACCACACUGGGAAUGAGACACGGCCCAGACCGCUACGGGAGGGAGCAGUGGGGAAUAUUGGACAAGGGGCGAAAGCGUGGUACAGCAAUGCCGGGUGAGUGAGGAAGGCCUUAGGGUUGUAAAGCUCUUUUACACGGGAUGAUAAUGACAGUACCGGGAGAAUAAGCACCGGCUAACUCCGUG
rnacentral:rRNA from 1 species